rnacentral:lncRNA from 1 species
GAGCGAAUUCACUCAGAACUAACAAGAAUGAUAACAUGCUCCGACUGGAGCGGUUUAGGAACUGCUGGAAGGCUCUAGGGGAAUAAAGAUGGAAUGACUUCUAAUUUUUAGGUCCGUAUGAUUUGAAAUACUUGCACACAAACCACGCGAAAGCGUUCCUGGAAAUCUCAGCCCAAAAAAGGACGUUUAGUAAUUCUAAAAGGGACUACAGGAUGAAAAACAAUAGUUUUGGCAGUUAAAGUUUGAGAUUCGACAGUGCCGUAGAUCCGUUUGGUCAUCAGGUAUUACGAGCCACACCCAUGUCUAGCUAGAAUAGUGUGCUAGGCUCAGGCUAGAGAAGAAACGGGGAACAAACUGAUGAAAGAAUGAUCAAACCGAGGGAAUUCACUCAGAACUAACAAUAAUGAUAACGUGCUCCGACUGGUGCGGUUUAGGAACUGCUGGAAGGCUCUAGGGGAAUAAAGAUGGAAUGACUUCUAAUUUUUAGGUCCGUAUGAUUUGAAAUACUUGCACACAAACCGCGCGAAAGCGUUCCUGGAAAUCUCAGCCCAAAAAAGGACGUUUAGUAAUUUUAAAAGGGACUAUAGGAUGAAAAACAAUAGUUUUGGCAAUUAAAGUUUGAGAUUCGACGGUGUCGUAGAUCCGUUUGGUCAUCAGGUGUUACGAGCCACACCCAUGUCUAGCUAGAAUAGUAUGUCAGGCUCAGGUUAGAGUAGAAACGGGGAACAAACUGAUGAAAGAAUGAUCAUACCAAGGGAAUUCACUCAGAACUAUCAAGAAUGAUAACGUGCUCCGACUGGAGUGAUUUAGGAACUGCUGGAAGGCUCUAGGGGAAUAAAGAUGGAAUGACUUCUAAUUUUUACGUCCGUAUGAUUUGAAAUACUUGCACACAAAUCACGCAAAAGCGUUCCUGGAAAUCUCAGCCUAAAAAAGGACGUUUAGUAAUUCUAAAAGGGACUACAGGAUGAAAAACAAUAGUUUGGGCAGUUAAAAUUUGAGAUUCGACGGUGCCGUAGAUCCGUUUGGUCAUCAGGUGUUACGAGCGACACCCUUGUCUAGCUAGAAUAGUGUGUUAGGCUCAGACUAGAGAAGAAACGGGGAACAAAGUGAUGAAAGAAUGAUCAUACCGAGGGAAUUCACUCAGAACUAACAAGAAUGAUAACGUGCUCCGACUGGAGCGGUUUAGUAACUGCUGGAAGGCUCUAGGGGAAUGAAGAUGGAAUGACUUCUAAUUUUUAGGUCCGUAUGAUUUGAAAUACAUGCACACAAACCCUGAGAAAGCGUUCCUGGAAAUCUCGGUCGAAAAAAGGAUGUUUAAUAAUUCUAAAAGGGACUACCGGAUGAAAAACAAUAGUUUUGGCAGUUAAAGUUUGUGAUUCGAUGGUGCCGUAGAUCUGUUUGGUCAUCAGGUGUUACGAGCCACACCCAUGUCUAUCUAGAAUAGUGUGUUAGGCUCAGGCUAGAGCAGAAACGGGGAACAGACUUAUGAAAGAAUGAUCAUACCGAGGGAAUUCACUCAGAACUAACAAGAAUGAUAACGUGCUCCGACUGGCGCGGUUUAGGAACUGCUGGAAGGCUCUAGGGGAAUAAAGAUGGAAAGACUUCUAAUUUUUAGGUCCGUAUGAUUUGAAAUACUUGCACACAAACCGCACGAAAGCGUUCCUGGAAAUCUCAGCCUAAAAAGGAUGUUUAGUAAUUCUAAAAGGGACUACAAGAUGAAAAAUAAUAGUUUGGGCAGUUAAAAUUUGAGAUUCGACGAUGCCGUAGAUCCGUUUGGUCAUCAGGUGUUAUGAGCCACACCCAUGUCUAGCUAGAAUAGUGUGUUAGGCUCAGGCUAGAGAAGAAACGGGGAACAAACUGAUGAAAGAAUGAUCAUACCGAGGGAAUUCACUCAGAACUAACAAGAAUGAUAACGUGCUCCGACUGGAGCAGUUUAGAAACUGCUGGAAGGCUCUAAUGGAAUAAAGAUGGAAUGCCUUCAAAUUUCUAGGUCCGUAUGAUUUGAAAUACUUGCACACAAACCGCUCGAAAGCGUUCCUGGAAAUCUCAGCCCAAAAAAGGACGUUUAGUAAUUCUAAAAGGGACUACAGGAUGAAAAACAAUAGUUUUGGCAGUUAAAGUUUGAGAUUCGAUGGUGCCGUAGAUCCGUUUGGUCAUCAGGUGUAACGAGCCACACACAUGUCUAGCUAGAGUAGUGUGCUAGGCUCAGACUAGAGAAGAAACGGGGAACAAAGUGAUGAAAGAAUGAUCAUACCGAGGGAAUUCACUCAGAACUUACAAGAAUGAUAACGUGCUCCGACUGGAGCGCUUUAGUAACUGCUGGAAGGCUCUAGGCGAAUAAAGAUGGAAUGACUUCUAAUUUUUAGGUCCGUAUGAUUUGAAAUACUUGCACACAAACCACGCAAAACCGUUCCUAGAAAUCUCGGUCGAAAAAAGGACGUUUAGUAAUUCUAAAAGGGACUACAGGAUGAAAAACAAUAGUUUUGGCAGUUAAAGUUUGAGAUUCGAUGGUGCCGUAGAUCCGUUUGGUCAUCAGGUGUUACGAGCCACACCCAUGUCUAGCUAGAGUAGUGUGCUAGGUUCAGACUAGAGAAGAAACGGGGAACAAAGUGAUUAAAGAAUGAUCAUACCGAGGGAAUUCACUCAGAACUAACAAGAAUGAUAACGUGCUCCGACUGGAGCGGUUUAGGAACUGCUGGAAGGCUCUAGGGGAAUAAAGAUGGAAUGACUUCUAAUUUUUACGUCCGUAUGAUUUGAAAUACAUGCACACAAACCACGCAAAAGCGUUCCUGGAAAUCUCAGCCUAAAAAAGGACGUUUAGUAAUUCUAAAAGGGACUACAGGAUGAAAAAUAAUAGUUUGGGCAGUUAAAAUUUGAGAUUCGACGCUGCCGUAGAUCCGUUUGGUCAUCAGGUCUUACGAGCCACACCCAUGUCUAGCUAGAAUAGUGUGUUAGGCUCAGGCUAGAGAAGAAACGGGGAACAAACUGAUGAAAGAAUGAUCAUACCGAGGGAAUUCACUCAGAACUAACAAGAAUGAUAACGUGCUCCGACUGGAGCAGUUUAGAAACUCCUGGAAGGCUCUAGGGGAAUAAAGAUGGAAUGACUUCAAAGUUUUAGGUCCGUAUGAUUUGAAAUACUUGCACACAAACCGCGUGAAAGCGUUCCUGGAAAUCUCAACCCAAAAAAGGGCGUUUAGUAAUUCUAAAAGGGACUACAGGAUGUAAAACAAUAGUUUUGGCAGUUAAAGUUUGAGAUUCGAUGGUGCCGUAGAUCCGUUUGGUCAUCAGGUGUAACGAGCCACACCCAUGUCUAGCUAGAGUAGUGUGCUAGGCUCAGACUAGAGAAGAAACGGGGAACAAAGUGAUGAAAGAAUGAUCAUACCGAGGGAAUUCACUCAUAACUAACAAGAAUGAUAACGUGCUCUGACUUGAGCGGUUUAGGAACUGCUGGAAGGCUAUAGGGGAAUAAAGAUGGAAUGACUUCAAAUUUUUAGGUCCGUAUGAUCUGAAAUACUUGCACACAAACCGCGAGAAAGCGUUCCUGGAAAUCUCAACCCAAAAAAGGACGUUUAGUAAUUCUAAAAGGGACUACAGGAUGAAAAACAAUAGUUCUGGCAGUUAUUGUUUGAGAUUCGAUAAUCUCGUAGAUCCGUUUGGUCAUCAGGUGUAACGAGCCACACCCAUGUCUAGCUAGAGUAGUGUGCUAGGCUCAGACUAGAGAAGAAACGGGGAACAAACUGAUGAAAGAAUGAUCAUACCGAGGGAAUUCACUUAGAACUAACAAGAAUGAUAACGUGCUCCGACUGGAGCGGUUUAGGAACUGCUGGAAGGCUCUAGGGGAAUAAAGAAGGAACGACUUCUAAUUUUUAGGUCCGUAUGAUUUGAAAUAUGUGCACACAAACCACGAGAAAGCGUUCCUAGAAAUCUCGGCCCAAAAGAGGACGUUUAGUAUUCUAAAAGGGACUACAGAAUGAAAAACAAUAGUUUUGGCAGUUAAAGUUUGAGAUUUGACGGUGCCGUAGAUCUGUUUGGUCAUCAGGGGUUACGAGCCACACCCAUGUCUAGCUAGAAUAGUGUGUUAGGCUCAGGCUAGAAAAGAAACGGGGAACAAAGUGAUGAAAGAAUGAUCAUACCGAGGGAAUUCACUCAGAACUAACAAGAAUGAUAACAUGCUCCGACUGGAGCGGUUUAGGAACUGCUGGAAGGCUCUAGGGGAAUAAAGAUGGAAUGACUUCUAAUUUUUAGGUCCGUAUGAUUUGAAAUACUUGCACACAAACCGCGCGAAAGCGUUCCUGGAAAUCUCAGCCCAAAAAAGGACGUUUAGUAAUUCUAAAAGGGACUACAGGAUGAAAAACAAUAGUUUUGGCAGUUAAAGUAUGAGAUUCAACGGUGCCGUAGAUCCGUUUGGUCAUUAGGUGUUACGAGCCACACCCAUGUCUAGCUAGAAUAGUGUGCUAGGCUCAGGCUAGAGAAGAAACGGGGAACAAACUGAUGAAAGAAUGAUCAAACCGAGGGAAUUCACUCAGAACUAACAAUAAUGAUAACGUGCUCCGACUGGAGCGGUUUAGGAACUGCUGGAAGUCUCUAGGGGAAUAAAGAUGGAAUGACUUCUAAUUUUUACGUUCGUAUGAUUUGAAAAACUUGCCCAUAAACCGCGCGAAAGUGUUCCUGGAAAUCUCAGCCCAAAAAAGGACGUUUAGUAAUUUUAAAAGGGACUACACGAUGAAAAACAAUAGUUUUGGCAGGUAAAGUUUGAGAUUCGACAGUGCCGUAGAUCCGUUUGGUCAUCAGGUGUUACGAGCCACACCCAUGUCUAGCUAGAAUAGUAUGUUACGCUCAGGUUAGAGAAGAAACGGGGAACAAACUGAUGAAAGAUGAUCAUACCAAGGGAAUUCACUCAGAACUAACAAGAAUGAUAACGUGCUCCGACUGGAGCGGUUUAGGAACUGCUGGAAGGCUCUAGGGGAAUAAAGAUGGAAUGACUUCUAAUUUUUACGUCUGUAUGAUUUGAAAUACUUGCACACAAACAACGCAAAAGCAUUCCUGGAAAUCUCAUCCUAAAAAAGGACGUUUAGUAAUUCUAAAAGGGACUACAGGAUGAAAAAUAAUAGUUUGGGAAGUUAAAAUUUGAGAUUCGAUAGUGCCGUAGAUCCGUUUGGUCAUCAGGUGUUAGGAGCCACACCCAUGUCUAGCUAGAAUAGUGUGUUAGGCUCAGGCUAGAGAAGAAACAGGGAACAAACUGAUGAAAGAAUGAUCAUACCGAGGGAAUUCACUCAGAACUAGCAAGAAUGAUAACGUGCUCCGACUGGAGCAGUUUUGAAACUGCUGGAAGGCUCUAGGGGAAUAAUGAUGGAAUGACUUCUAAGUUUUUGGUCCGUAUGAUUUGAAAUACGUGCACACAAACCCAGAGAAAGUGUUCUUGGAAAUCUCGGCCGAAAAAAGGAUGUUUAAUAAUUCUAAAAGGGACUACAGGAUGAAAAACAAUAGUUUUGGCAGUUAAAGUUUGUGAUUCGAUGGUGCUGUAGAUCUGUUUGGUCAUCAGGUGUUAUGAGCCACACCCAUGUCUAGCUAGAACAGUGUGUUAGGCUCAGGCUAGAGCAGAAACGGGGAACAAACUUAUGAAAGAAUGAUCAUACCGAGGGAAUUCACUCAGAACUAACAAGAAUGAUAACGUGCUCCGACUGGAGAGGUUUAGGAACUGCUGGAAGGCUCUAGGGGAAUAAAGAUGGAAUGACUUCAAAUUUUUAGGUCUGUAUGAUCUGAAAUACUUGCACACAAACCGCGAGAAAGCGUUCCUGGAAAUCUCAGCCCAAAAAAGGACGUUUAGUGAUUCUAAAAGGGACUACGGGAUAAAAAACAAUAGUUUUGGCAGUUAAAGUUUGAGAUUCGAUAAUGCCGUAGAUCCGUUUGGUCAUCAGGUGUAACGAGCCACACCCAUGUCUAGCUAGAGUAGUGUGCUAGGCUCAUACUAGAGAAGAAAUGGGGAACAAACUGAUGAAAGAAUGAUCAUACCGAGGGAGUUCACUCAAAACUAACAUGAAUGAUAACGUGCUCCGACUGGAGCGGUUUAGGAACUGCUGGAAGGCUCUAGGGGAAUAAAGAUGGAAUGACUUCUAAUUUUUAGGUCCGUAUGAUUUGAAAUACAUGCACACAAACCCCAAGAAAGCGUUCCUGGAAAUCUCGCCCCGAAAAACGACGUUUAGUAAUUCUAAAAGGGACUAUAGGAUGAAAAACAAUAGUUUUGGCAGUUAAAGUUUGAGAUUUGACGGUGCCGUAGAUCUGUUUGGUCAUCAGGUGUUACGAGCCACACCCAUUUCUAGCUAGAAUAGUGUGUUAGGCUCAGGCUAGAAAAGAAACGGGGAACAAAGUGAUGAAAGAAUGAUCAUACCGAGGGAAUUCACUCAGAACUAACAAGAAUGAUAACAUGGUCCGACUGGAGCGGUUUAGGAACUGCUGGAAGGCUCUAGGGGAAUAAAGAUGGAAUGACUUCUAACUUUUAGGUCCGUAUGAUUUGAAUUACUUGCACACAAACCGCGCGAAAGCGUUCCUGGAAAUCUCAGCCCAAAAAAGGACGUUUAGUAAUUCUAAAAGGGACUACAGGAUGAAAAACAAUAGUUUUGGCAGUUAAAGUUUGAGAUUCGACGGUGCCGUAGAUCCGUUUGGUCAGCAGGUGUUACGAGCCACACCCAUGUCUAGCUAGAGUAGUGUGCUAGGUUCAGACUAGAGAAGAAAUGUUGGGGAACGUAGCAGAAAUUCAAAAUUUUCCUACGUGUCACCAAGAUCUAUCUAUGGAGAGACUAGCAACGAGGGAAGGAGAGUGCAUCUACAUACCCUUGUAGAUCGCUAAGCGGAAGCGUUCAAGUGAACGGGGUUGAUGGAGUCGUACUCGUCGUGAUUCAGCUCACCGAUGAUCCUAGUGCCGAACGGACGGCACCUCCGCGUUCAACACACGUACAGCUCGACGAUGUCUCCCACGCCUUGAUCCAGCAAGGAGAGAGGGAGAGGUUGAGGAAGACUCCAUCCAGCAGAAGCACAACGGCGUGGUGGUGAUGGAGGAGCAUGGCAAUCCUGCAGGGCUUCGCCAAGCACCUAUGGGAGAGGAGGAGGUGUCACGGGAGGGAGGGAGGCGCCAAGGGCUCAGGUAUAGAUGCCCUCCCUCCCCUCCACUAUAUAUAGGGGCAAGGGAGAGGGGGGAGGCGCAGCCUUGCCCCUUCCUCCAAGGAAGGGGUGCGGCUAAGAGGGGGGGAGGAGUCCAUCCUCCCCAAGGCACCUCGGAGGUGCCUUCCCCCUUUAGGACUCUCCCCUUUUUCCUAUAUCUUGGCGCAUGGGCCUCUAGGGGCUGGUUCCCUUGGCCCAUGUAGGCCCAGGCGCACCCCCUACAGCCCAUGUGGCCCCCCGGGGCAGGUGGCCCCACCUGGUGGGCCCCCGGGACCCUUCCGGUGGUCCCGGUACAAUACCGAUGACCCCGAAACUUGUCCCGAUGGCCGAAACAGGACUUCCUAUAUAUAAAUCUUUACCUCCGGACAAUUCCGGAACUCCUCGUGACGUCCGGGAUCUCAUCCGGGACUCCGAACAACAUUCGGUAACCACAUACAAACUUCCUUUAUAACCCUAGCGUCAUCGAACCUUAAGUGUGUAGACCCUACGGGUUCGGGAGACAUGUAGUCAUGACCGAGAUGUUCUCCGGUCAAUAACCAACAGCGGGAUCUGGAUACCCAUGUUGGCUCCCACAUGUUCCACGAUGAUCUCAUCGGAUGAACCACGAUGUCAAGGACUCAAUCAAUCCCGUAUACAAUUCCCUUUGUCUAGCGGUAUGGUACUUGCCCGAGAUUCGAUCGUCGGUAUACCGAUACCUUGUUCAAUCUCGUUACCGGCAAGUCUCUUUACUCAUUUCGUAACACAUCAUCCCGUGAUCAACCCCUUGGUCACAUUGUGCACAUUAUGAUGAUGUCCUACCGAGUGGGCCCAGAGAUACCUCUCCGUUUACACGGAGUGACAAAAUCCCAAUCUCGAUUCGUGCCAACCCAACAGACACUUUCAGAGAUACCCGUAGUGUACCUUUACAGCCACCCAGUUACGUUGUGACGUUUGGCACACCCAAAGCACUCCUACAGUAUCCGGGAGUUGCACAAUCUCAUGGUCUAAGGAAAUGAUACUUGACAUUAGAAAAGCUUUAGCAUACGAACUACAUGAUCUUGUGCUAGGCUUAGGAUUGGGUCUUGUCCAUCACAUCAUUCUCCUAAUGAUGUGAUCCCGUUAUCAACGACAUCCAAUGUCCAUGGUCAGGAAACCGUAACCAUCUAUUGAUUAACGAGCUAGUCAACUAGAGGCUUACUAGGGACAUGGUGUUGUCUAUGUAUCCACACAUGUAUCUAAGUUUCCUAUCAAUACAAUUCUAGCAUGGAUAAUAAACGAUUAUCAUGAACAAGGAAAUAUAAUAAUAAUCAAUUUAUUAUUGCCUCUAGGGCAUAUUUCCAACAGUCUCCCACUUGCACUAGAGUCAAUAAUCUAGUUCACAUCGAUAUGUGAUUAACACUCAAGGUCACAUUCCCAUGUGACUAACACCCAAGAGUUUACUAGAGUCAAUAAUCUAGUUCACAUUUACCAUGUGAUUAACACUUGAUGAGUUCUGGGUUUGAUCAUGUUAUGCUUGUGAGAGAGGUUAUAGUCAACGGGUCUGAACCUUUCAGAUCCGUGUGUGCUUUACAAAUCUCUAUGUCAUCUCCUAGAUGCAGCUACCACGUUCUAUUUGGAGCUAUUCCAAAUAACUGUUCUACUUGGAGCUAUUCUAAAUUGUUGCUCCAUUAUACGUAUCCGGUAUCUCUACUCAGAGCUAUCCGGAUAGGUGUUAAGCUUGCAUCGACGUAACCCUUUACGACGAACUCUUUUACCACCUCCAUAAUUGAGAAAAUUCCUUAGUCCACUAGUUACUAAGGAUAACUUUGACCGCUGUCCUGUGAUCCAUUCUUGGAUCACUCUUGUACCCCUUGACUGACUCAUGGUAAAGCACACUUCAGGUGCGGUACACAGCAUAGCAUACUGUAGAGCCUAUGUCUUAAGCAUAGGGGACGACCUUCGUUCCUUUCUCUCUAUUCUGCCAUGGUCGAGCUUUAAGUCUUAACUUCAUACCUUACAACUCAGGCAAGAACUCCUUCUUUGACUGAUCCAUCUUGAACACCUUCAAGAUCACGUCAAGGCAUGUGCUCACGUCAAGAUCACGUCGGUAUACCGAUACCUUGUUCAAUCUCGUUACCGGCAAGUCUCUUUACUCGUUCCGUAACACAUCAUCCCGUGAUCAACCCCUUGGUCACAUUGUGCACAUUAUGAUGAUGUCCUACCGAGUGGGCCCAGAGAUACCUCUCCGUUUACACGGAGUGACAAAAUCCCAAUCUCGAUUCGUGCCAACCCAACAGACACUUUCAGAGAUACCCGUAGUGUACCUUUAUAGCCACCCAGUUACGUUGUGACGUUUGGCACACCCAAAGCACUCCUACGGUAUCCGGGAGUUGCACAAUCUCAUGGUCUAAGGAAAUGAUACUUGACAUUAGAAAAGCUUUAGCAUACGAACUACAUGAUCUUGUGCUAGGCUUAGGAUUGGGUCUUGUCCAUCACAUCAUUCUCCUAAUGAUGUGAUCCCGUUAUCAACGACAUCCAAUGUCCAUGGUCAGGAAACCGUAACCAUCUAUUGAUUAACGAGCCAGUCAACUAGAGGCUUACUAGGGACAUGGUGUUGUCUAUGUAUCCACACAUGUAUCUGAGUUUCCUAUCAAUACAAUUCUAGCAUGGAUAAUAAACGAUUAUCAUGAACAAGGAAAUAUAAUAAUAAUCAAUUUAUUAUUGCCUCUAGGGCAUAUUUCCAACAGUCUCCCACUUGCACUAGAGUCAAUAAUCUAGUUCACAUCACCAUGUGAUUAACACUGACAGGUCACAUCACCAUGUGACCAACAUCCAAAGAGUCUUGGGUUUGAUCAUGUUGCUUGUGAGAGAGGUUAUAGUCAACGGGUCUGAACCUUUCAGAUCCGUGUGUGCUUUACAAAUCUCUAUGUCAUCUCCUAGAUGCAGCUACCACGUUCUAUUUGGAGCUAUUCCAAAUAACUGUUCUACUUGGAGCUAUUCUAAAUUGUUGCUCCAUUAUACGUAUCCGGUAUCUCUACUCAGAGCUAUCCGGAUAGGUGUUAAGCUUGCAUCGACGUAACCCUUUACGACGAACUCUUUUACCACCUCCAUAAUUGAGAAAAUUCCUUAGUCCACUAGUUACUAAGGAUAACUUUGACCGCUGUCCUGCGAUCCAUUCUUGGAUCACCCUUGUACCCCUUGACUGACUCAUGGUAAAGCACACUUCAGGUGCGGUACACAGCAUAGCAUACUGUAGAGCCUAUGUCUUAAGCAUAGGGGAUGACCUUCGUUCCUUUCUCUCUAUUCUGCCAUGGUCGAGCUUUAAGUCUUAACUUCAUACCUUACAACUCAGGCAAGAACUCCUUCUUUGACUGGUCCAUCUUGAACACCUUCAAGAUCAUGUCAAGGUAUGUGCUCAUUUGAAAGUACUAUUAAGCGUUUUGAUCUAUCCUUAUAGAUCUUGAUGCUCAAUGUUCAAGUAGCUUAAUCCAGGUUUUCCAUUGAAAACACUUUCCAAAUAACCCUAUAUGCUUUCCAGAAAUUCUACGUCAUUUCUGAUCAUUAAUAUGUCAACAACAUAUAAUCAUCAGAAAUUCUAUAGUGCUCCCACUCACUUCUUUGGAAAUACAAGUUUCUCAUAAACUUUGUAUACACCCAAAAUCUUUGAUCAUCAUCAAAGCAUACAUUCCAACUCCGAGAUGCUCACUCCAGUCCUCAGAAGGAUUGCUGGAGCUUUGCAUACUUAUUAGCAUAUUUCAGGAUAGACAAAACCUUCCAGUUGUAUCACAUACAACCUUUCCUCAAGAAUCGUCGACGAAACAAUGUUUUGACAUCCUAUCUGCAAGAUUUCAUAAAUAAUGCAGUAAUUGUUAAUAUAAUUCCAACAGACUCUUAGCAUCGCUACGAGUGAGAAAGUCUCAUUGUAGUCAACUCCUUGAACUUGUCAAAAAACAUCUUAACGACAAGUCGAGCUUUCUCAAUGGUGACACUUACCAUCAUUGUCUGUCUUCCUUUCAAAAUCCAUAUGUACCUAACAGCCUUACGACCAUCAAGUAGUUCUUCCAAAGUCUACACUUUGUUUUCAUACAUGGAUCCUCUCUCGGGUUUUAUGGCCAUGAGCCAUUUAUCGGAAUCCGGGCCCACCAUUGCUUCUCCAUAGCUCGUAGGUUCAUUGUUGUCUAGCAACAUGACUUCCAAGACAGGAUUACUGUACCACUCUGAAGUAGUACGUAUCCUUGUCACCCUACGAGGUUUGGGAGUGACUUGAUCUGAAGUUUCAUGAUCACUAUCAUAAGCUUCUACUUCAAUUGGUGUAGGUGCCACAGGAACAACUUCCUGUGCCCUGCUACACACUGGUUGAAGUGAUGGUUCAAUAACCUCAUCAAGUCUCCACCAUCCUCCCACUCAAUUCUUUCGAGAGAAACCUUUCCUCGAGAAAGGACCCAAUUCUAGAAACAAUUCAUAUUGCUUUCGGAUCUGAAUUAGGAAGUAUACCCAACUGUUUUGGGUGUCCUAUGAAGAUGUACUUUAUCCGCUUUGGUUUCGAGCUUAAUCCUGAAACUUUUUCACAUAAGUGUCGCAGCCCCAAACCUUUAAGAAACGACAACUUAGGUUUCUCUAAACCAUAAUUCAUACGGUGUCAUCUCAUCGGAAUUACGUGGUGCCCUAUUUAAAGUGAAUGUGGUUGUCUUUAAUGCCUAACCCAUAAACUAUCGUGGCAGUUCGAUAAGAGACAUCAUGGUAUGCAUCAUAUCCAAUAGGGUGCAACUAUGAUGUUCGGACACACCAUCACACUAUGGUGUUCCAGGCGGUAUUAAUUGUGAAACAAUUUCCACAAUGUCUUAAUUGUGUGCCAAAACUCGUAACUCAGAUACUCAUCUCUAUGAUCAUAUCAUAGACAUUUUAUCCUCUUGUCACAAUGAUCUUCUACUUCACUCUGAAAUUACUUGAACCAUUCAACAAUUCAGACUUGUGUUUCAUCAAGUAAAUAUUCUCAACAUCUACUCGAAUCAUCUGUGAAGUAAGAACAUAACGAUAUUCACUGCAUGCCUCAGCACUCAUUGGACUGCACACAUCAAAAUGUGUUACUUCCAACAAGUUGCUAUCUUGUUCCAUCUUACUGAAAACGAGGCUUUUCAGUCAUCUUGCCCAUGUGGUAUGAUUUGCAUGUCCCAAGUGAUUCAAAAAUCAAGUGAGUCAAAACGGUCCAUUUGCAUGGAGUUUCUUCAUGCAUAUACACCAAUAGACAUGGUUCGCAUGUCUCAAACUUUUCAAAAACGAGUGAGCCCAAAGAUCCAUCAAUAUGGAGCUUCUUCAUGCGUUUUAUACCGAUAUGACUUACGUGGUAGUGCCACAAGUAGGUGGUACUAUCAUUACUAUCUUUUGGCAUGAACAUGUGUAUCACUACGAUCGAGAUUUAAUAAACCAUUCAUUUUAGGUGUAAGACCAUUGAAGGUAUUAUUCAAAUAAACAGAGUAACCAUUAUUCUCCUUAAAUGAAUAACCGUAUUGCGAUAGACGUAAUCCAAUCAUGUCUAUGCUCAACGCAAACACCAAAUAACAAUUAUUUAGGUUUAACACCAAUCUCUUUGGUAGAGGGAGCGUGCGAUGCUUGAUCAUAUCAAGCAUGGAAAAACUUACAACACAUAUCGUCAGCUCACCUUUAGCUAGUCUCUGUUUAUUCCGUAGCCUUUUGUUUCGAGUUACUAACACUUAGCAACCGAACUGGUAUCUAAUACCCUGGUGCUACUAGGAGUACUAGCAAAGUACACAUUAACACAAUGUAUAUCCAAUAUACUUCUAUCGACCUUGCCAGCCUUCUUAUCUACCAAGUAUCUAGGGUAAUUCUGCUCUAGUAGUUGUUCCCCUUAUUACAGAAGCACUUAGUCUCGGGUUUGGGUUUUACCUUGGGUUUCUUCACUAGAGCAGCAGCUGAUUUGCCGUUUCAUGAAGUAUCCCUUCUUGCCCUUGCCCUUCUUGAAACUAGUGGUUCCACCAACCAUCAACAAUUGAUGCUCCUUCUUGAUUUCUACUUUCGCGGUGUCAAACAUCGCGAAUACCUCAAGGAUCAUCAUAUCUAUCCCUGAUAUGUUAUAGUUCAUCAUGAAGCUCUAACAGCUUGGUGGCAAUGACUUUGGAGAACCAUCACUAUCUCAUCUGGAAGAUCAACUCCCACUCGAUUCAAGCGAUUGUUGUACUCAGACAAUCUGAGCACAAGCUCAACGAUUGAGCUUUUCUCCCUUAGUUUGCAGGUUAAGAAAGUCAUCGGAGGUCUUAUACCUCUUGACAUGGGCACGAGCCUGAAAUCCCAAUUUCAGCCCUCAAAACAUCUCAUAUGUUUCGCGAUGUUUCAAAAACGUCUUUGGUGCCUCAACUCUAAACCGUUUAACUGAACUAUCACGUAGUUAUCAAAACGUGUAUGUCAGAUGUUCGCAACAACCACAGACAACGUUCGAGGUUCAGCACACUGAGCGGUGCAUUAAGGACAUAAGCCUUCUAUGAAGCAAUGAGGACAAUCCUCAGUUUACGGACCUAGUCCGCAUAAUUGCUACUAUCAACUUUCAACUAAUUUUUCUCUAGGAACAUAUCUAAACAGUAGAACUAUAGCGUGAGCUACGACAUAAUUUGCAAAAACCUUUUGACUAUGUUCAGGAUAAUUAAGUUCAUCUUAUGAACUCCCACUCAGAUAGACAUCCCUCUAGUCAUCUAAGUGAUUACAUGAUCCGAGUCAAACUAGGCCGUGUCCGAUCAUCACGUGAGACGGACUAGUCAUCAUCGGUGAACAUCUUCAUGUUGAUCGUAUCUUCUAUACGACUCAUGUUCGACCUUUCGGUCUUCGUGUUCCGAGGCCAUGUAUGUACAUGCUAGGCUCGUCAAGUUAACCCUAAGUGUUUCGCGUGUGUAAAUCUGUCUUACACCCGUUGUAUGUGAACGUUAGAAUCUAACACCCGAUCAUCACGUGGUGCUUCGAAACACGAACUGUCGCAACGGUGCACAGUUAGGGGAGAACACUUCUUGAAAUUGUUGUAAGGGAUCAUCUUAUUUACUACCGUCGUUCUAAGCAAAUAAGAUGUAUAAACAUGAUAAACAUCACAUGCAAUCAAAUAGUGACAUGAUAUGGCCAUCAUCACUUUGCUCCUUUUGAUCUCCAUCUUCGGGGCUCCAUGAUCAUCAUCGUCACCGGCAUGACACCAUGAUCUCCAUCAUCAUGAUCUCCAUCAUCGUGUCUUCAUGAAGUUGCCUCGCCAACUAUUACUUCUACUACUAUGGCUAACGGUUAGCAAUAAAGUAAAGUAAUUACAUGACGUUUAAGUUGACACGCAGGUCACAAAUGAAUAAAGACAACUCCUAUGGCUCCUGCCGGUUGUCAUACUCAUCGACAUGCAAGUCGUGAUUCCUAUUACAAGAACAUGAUCAAUCUCAUACAUCACAUAUAUCAUUCAUCACAUCCUUUUUGGCCAUAUCACAUCACAUAGCAUACCCUGCAAAAACAAGUUAGACGUCCUCUAAUUGUUGUUUGCAUGUUUUACGUGGCUGCUAUGGGUUUCUAGCAAGAACGUUUCUUACCUACGCAUGAACAACAACGUGAUAUGCCAAUUGCUAUUUACCCUUCAUAAGGACCCUUUUCAUCGAAUCCGAUCCGACUAAAGUGGGAGAGACAGACACCCGCCAGCCACCUUAUGCAACUAGUGCAUGUUUGUCGGUGGAACCGGUCUCACGUAAGCGUACGUGUAAGGUUGGUCCGGGCCGCUUCAUCCCACGAUGCCGCCGAAUCAAGAUAAGACUAGUAACGGCAAGCAUAUUGAACAAUAUCAACGCCCACAACUACUUUGUGUUCUACUCGUGCAAAGAAUCUACGCAAUAGACCUAGCUCAUGAUGCCACUGUUGGGGAACGUAGCAGAAAUUCAAAAUUUUCCUACGUGUCACCAAGAUCUAUCUAUGGAGAUACUAGCAACGAGGGAAGGAGAGUGCAUCUACAUACCCUUGUAGAUCGCUAAGCGGAAGCGUUCAAGUGAACGGGGUUGAUGGAGUCGUACUCGUCGUGAUUCAGAUCACCGAUGAUCCUAGUGCCGAACGGACGGCACCUCCGCGUUCAACACACGUACAGCUCGACGAUGUCUCCCACGCCUUGAUCCAGCAAGGAGAGAGGGAGAGGUUGAGGAAGACUCCAUCCAGCAGCAGCACAACGGCGUGGUGGUGAUGGAGGAGCGUGGCAAUCCUGCAGGGCUUCGCCAAGCACCUACGGGAGAGGAGGAGGUGUCACGGGAGGGAGGGAGGCGCCAAGGGCUCAGGUAUAGAUGCCCUCCCUCCCCUCCACUAUAUAUAGGGGCAAGGGAGAGGGGGAGGCGCAUCCUUGCCCCUUCCUCCAAGGAAGGGGUGCGGCUAAGAGGGGGGGAGGAGUCCAUCCUCCCCAAGGCACCUCGGAGGUGCCUUCCCCCUUUAGGACUCUCCCCUUUUUCCUAUAUCUUGGCGCAUGGGCCUCUAGGGGCUGGUGCCCUUGGCCCAUGUAGGCCAAGGCGCACCCCCCUACAGCCCAUGUGGCCCCCCGGGGCAGGUGGCCCCACCCGGUGGGCCCCCGGGACCCUUCCGGUGGUCCCGGUACAAUACCGAUGACCCCGAAACUUGUCCCGAUGGCCGAAACAGGACUUCCUAUAUAUAAAUCUUUACCUCCGGACCAUUCCGGAACUCCUCGUGACGUCCGGGAUCUCAUCCGGGACUCCGAACAACAUUCGGUAACCACAUACAAACUUCCUUUAUAACCCUAGCGUCAUCGAACCUUAAGUGUGUAGACCCUACGGGUUCGGGAGACAUGUAGUCAUGACCGAGAUGUUCUCCGGUCAAUAACCAACAGCGGGAUCUGGAUACCCAUGUUGGCUCGCACAUGUUCCACGAUGAUCUCAUCGGAUGAACCACGAUGUCAAGGACUCAAUCAAUCCCGUAUACAAUUCCCUUUGUCUAGCGGUAUGGUACUUGCCCGAGAUUCGAUCGUCGGUAUACCGAUACCUUGUUCAAUCUCGUUACCGGCAAGCCUCUUUACUCGUUCCGUAACACAUCAUCCCGUGAUCAACCCCUUGGUCACAUUGUGCACAUUAUGAUGAUGUCCUACCGAGUGGGCCCAGAGAUACCUCUCCGUUUACACGGAGUGACAAAAUCCCAAUCUCGAUUCGUGCCAACCCAACAGACACUUUCAGAGAUACCCGUAGUGUACCUUUAUAGCCACCCAGUUACGUUGUGACGUUUGGCACACCCAAAGCACUCCUACGGUAUCCGGGAGUUGCACAAUCUCAUGGUCUAAGGAAAUGAUACUUGACAUUAGAAAAGCUUUAGCAUACGAACUACAUGAUCUUGUGCUAGGCUUAGNNNNNNNNNNUGAUCAACCCCUUGGUCACAUUGUGCACAUUAUGAUGAUGUCCUACCGAGUGGGCCCAGAGAUACCUCUCCGUUUACACGGAGUGACAAAAUCCCAAUCUCGAUUCGUGCCAACCCAACAGACAUUUUCAGAGAUACCCGUAGUGUACCUUUAUAGCCACCCAGUUACGUUGUGACGUUUGGCACACCCAAAGCACUCCUACGGUAUCCGGGAGUUGCACAAUCUCAUGGUCUAAGGAAAUGAUACUUGACAUUAGAAAAGCUUUAGCAUACGAACUACAUGAUCUUGUGCUAGGCUUAGGAUUGGGUCUUGUCCAUCACAUCAUUCUCCUAAUGAUGUGAUCCCGUUAUCAACGACAUCCAAUGUCCAUGGUCAGGAAACCGUAACCAUCUAUUGAUUAACGAGCUAGUCAACUAGAGGCUUACUAGGGACAUGGUGUUGUCUAUGUAUCCACACAUGUAUCUGAGUUUCCUAUCAAUACAAUUCUAGCAUGGAUAAUAAACGAUUAUCAUGAACAAGGAAAUAUAAUAAUAAUCAAUUUAUUAUUGCCUCUAGGGCAUAUUUCCAACAAGAAACGGGGAACAAACUGAUGAAAGAAUGAUCAUACCGAGGGAAUUCACUCAGAACUAACAAGAAUGAUAACGUGCUUUGACUGGAGCGGUUUAAAAACUGCUGGAAGGCUCUAGGGGAAUAAAGAUGGAAUGCCUUCAAAUUUCUAGGUCCGUAUGAUUUGAAAUACUUGCACACAAACCGCGCGAAAGCGUUCCUGGAAAUCUCAGCCCAAAAAAGGACGUUUAGUAAUUCUAAAAGGGACUACAGAAUGAAAAACAAUAGUUUUGGCAGUUAAAGUUUGAGAUUCGAUGGUGCCGUAGAUCCGUUUGGUCAUCAGGUGUAACGAGCCACACCCAUGUCUAGCUAGAGUAGUGUGCUAGGCUCAGGCUAGAGAAGAAACGGGGAACAAACUGAUGAAAGAAUGAUCAUACCGAGGGAAUUCACUCAGAACUAACAAGAAUGAUAACGUGCUCCGACUGGAGCGGUUUAGGAACUGCUGGAAGGCUCUAGGGGAAGAAAGAAGGAAUGACUUCUAAUUUUUAGGUCCGUAUGAUUUGAAAUACGUGCACACAAACCGCGCGAAAGCGUUCCUGGAAAUCUCAGCCCAAAAAAGGACGUUUAGUAUUCUAAAAGGGACUACAGAAUGAAAAACAAUAGUUUUGGCAGUUAAAGUUUGAGAUUCGACGGUGCCGUAGAUCCGUUUGGUCAUCAGGUGUUACGAGCCACACCCAUGUCUAGCUAGAAUAGUGUGCNNNNNNNNNNNNNNNNNNNNNNNNNCGUAUGAUUUGAAAUACGUGCACACAAACCGCGCGAAAGCGUUCCUGGAAAUCUCAGCCCAAAAAAGGACGUUUAGUAUUCUAAAAGGGACUACAGAAUGAAAAACAAUAGUUUUGGCAGUUAAAGUUUGAGAUUCGACGGUGCUGUAGAUCCGUUUGGUCAUCAGGUGUUACGAGCCACACCCAUGUCUAGCUAGAAUAGUGUGCUAGGCUCAGGCUAGAGAAGAAAAGGGGAACAAACUAAUGAAAGAAUGAUCAAUACGAGGGAAUUCACUCAGAACUAACAAUAAUGAUAACGUGCUCCGACUGGAGCGGUUUAGGAACUGCUGGAAGGCUCUAGGCGAAUAAAGAUGGAAUGACUUCUAAUUUUUACGUCCGUAUGAUUUGAAAUACUUGCACACAAACCACGCAAAAGCGUUCCUGGAAAUCUCGGCCUAAAAAGGACGUUUAGUAAUUCUAAAAGGGACUACAGGAUGAAAAAUAAUAGUUUGGGCAGUUAAAAUUUGAGAUUCGACGGUGCCGUAGAUCCGUUUGGUCAUCAGGUGUUACGAGCCACACCCAUGUCUAGCUAGAAUAGUGUGUUAGGCUCAGGCUAGAGAAGAAACGAGGAACAAACUGAUGAAAGAAUGAUCAUACCAAGGGAAUUCACUCAGAACUAACAAGAAUGAUAACGUGCUCCGACUGGAGCAGUUUAGAAACUGCUGGAAGGCUCUAGGGGAAUAAAGAUGGAAUGACUUCUGAUUUUUAGGUCCGUAUGAUUUGAAAUACGUGCACACAAACCCCGCGAAAGCGUUCCUGGAAAUCUCAGCCCAAAAAAGGACGUUUAGUAAUUCUAAAAGGGACUACAACAUGAAAAACAAUAGUUUUGGCAGUUAAAGUUUGAGAUUUCAUGGUGCCGUAGAUCUGUUUGGUCAUCAGGUGUUACGAGCCACACCCAUGUCUAGCUAGAAUAGUGUGUUAGGCUCAGGCUAGAAAAGAAACGGGAAACAAAGUGAUGAAAGAAUGACCAUACCGAGGGAAUUCACUCAGAACUAACAAGAAUGAUAACAUGCUCCGACUUGAGCGGUUUAGGAACUGCUGGAAGGCUCUAGGGGAAUAAAGAUGGAAUGACUUCUAAUGUUUAGGUCCGUAUGAUUUGAAAUACUUGCACAUAAACCGCACAAAAGCGUUCCUGGAAAUCUCAGCCCAAAAAAGGACGUUUAGUAAUUCUAAAAGGGACUACAGGAUGAAAAACAAUAGUUUUGGCAGUUAAAGUUUGAGAUUCGACGGUGCCGUAGAUCCGUUUGGUCAUCAGGUGUUACGAGCCACACCCAUGUCUAGCUAGAAUAGUGUGUUAGGCUCAGGCUAGAGAAGAAACUUGGAACAAACUGAUGAAAGAAUGAUCAAACCAACGGAAUUCACUCAGAACUAACAAUAAUGAUAACGUGCUCCGACUGGAGCAGUUUAGGAACUGCUGGAAGGCUCUAGGGGAAUAAAGAUGGAAUGACUUCUAAUUUUUAGGUCCGUAUGAUUUGAAAUACUUGCACGCAAACCGCGCGAAAGCGUUCCUGGAAAUAUCAGCCCAAAAAAGGACGUUUAGUAAUUCUAAAAGGGACUACAGGAUGAAAACAAUAGUUUUGGCAGUUAAAGUUUGAGAUUCAACAGUGCCGUAGAUCCGUUUGGUCAUCAGGUGUUAUGAGCCAUACCCAUGUCUAGCUAGAGUAGUGUGCUAGGCUCAGGCUAGAGAAGAAACAGGGAACAAACUGAUGAAAGAAUGAUCAUACCGAGGGAAUUCACUCAGAACUAACAAGAAUGAUAACGUGCUCCGACUGGAGCGGUUUAGGAACUGCUGGAAGGCUCUAGGGGAAUAAAGAUGGAGUGACUUCUAAAUUUUUAGGUCCGUAUGAUUUAAAAUACUUGCACACAAACCGCACGAAAGCGUUCCUUGAAAUCUCAGCCCAAAAAAGGACGUUUAGUAAGUCUAAAAGGGACUAUAGGAUGAAAAACAAUAGUUUUGGCAGUUAAAGUUUGAGAUUCGAUGGUGCCGUAGAUCUGUUUGGUCAUCAGGUGUUACGAGCCACACCCAUGUCUAGUUGGAAUAGUGUGCUAGGCUCAGACUAGAGAAGAAACAGGGAACAAACUGAUGAAAGAAUGAUCAAACCGAGGAAAUUCACUCAGAACUAACAAUAAUGAUAACAUGCUCCGACUGGAGCGGUUUAGGAACUGCUGGAAGGCUCUAGGGGAAUAAAGAUGGAAUGACUUCUAAAUUUUUAGGUCCGUAUGAUUUGAAAUAGUUGCACACAAACUGCGCGAAAGCGUUCCUGGAAAUCUCAGCCCAAAAAAGGACGUUUAGUAAUUCUAAAAGGGACUAUAGGAUGAAAAACAAUAGUUUUGGCAGUUAAAGUUUGAGAUUCGACGGUGCCGUAGAUCCGUUUGGUCAUCACGUGUUACAAGCCACACCCAUGUCUAGCUAGAGUAGUGUGCUAGGCUCAGACUAUAGAAGAAACGGGGACCAAACUGAUGAAAGAAUGAUCAAACCGAGGAAAUUCACUCAGAACUAACAAUAAUGAUAACAUGCUCCGACUGGAGCGGUUUAGGAACUACUGGAAGGCUCUAGGGGAAUAAAGAUGGAAUGACUUCUAAAUUUUUAGGUCCGUAUGAUUUUAAAUAGUUGCACACAAACUGCGCGAAAGCGUUCCUGGAAAUCUCAGCCCAAAAAAGGACGUUUAGUAAUUCUAAAAGGGACUACAGGAUGAAAAACAAUAGUUUGGGCAGUUAAAAUUUGAGAUUCGACGGUGCCGUAGAUCCGUUUGGUCAUCAGGUGUUACGAGCCACACCCAUGUCUAGCUAGAGUAGUGUGCUAGGCUCAGGCUAGAGAAGAAACAGGGAACAAACUGAUGAAAGAAUGAUCAUACCGAGGGAAUUCACUCAGAACUAACAAGAAUGAUAACGUGCUCUGACUGGAGCGGUUUAAGAACUGUUGGAAGGCUCUAGGGGAAUAAAGAUGGAAUCACUUCAAAUUUUUACGUCCGUGUGAUUUGAAAUACUUGCACACAAACCGCACGAAAGCGUUCCUGGAAAUCUCAGCCCAAAAAAGGACGUUUAGUAAGUCUAAAAGGGACUACACGAUGAAAAACAAUAGUUUUGGCAGUUAAAGUUUGAGAUUCGACAGUGCCGUAGAUCCGUUUGGUCAUCAGGUGUAACGAGCCACACCCAUGUCUAGAUAGAGUAGUGUGCUAGGCUCAAACUAGAGAAGAAACGGGGAACAAACUGAUGAAAGAAUGAUCAUACCGAGGGAAUUCACUCAGAAAUAACAAGAAUGAUAACGUGCUCUGACUGGAGCGGUUUAGGAACUGCUGGAAGGCUCUAGGGGAAUAAAGAAGGAAUGACUUCUAAUUUUUAGGUCCGUAUGAUUUGAAAUACGUGCACACAAACCCCGAGAAAGCGUUCCUGGAAAUCUCGACCCAAAAAAGGACGUUUAGUAAUUCUAAAAGGGACUACGGGAUGAAAAACAAUAGUUUUGGCAGUUAAAGUUUGAGAUUCGAUAAUGCCGUAGAUCCAUUUGGUCAUCAGGUGUAACGAGCCACACCCAUGUCUAGCUAGAGUAGUGUGCUAGGCUCAGACUAGAGAAGAAACAGGGAACAAACUGAUGAAAGAAUGAUCAUAUCGAGGGAAUUCACUCAGAACUAACAAGAAUGAUAACAUGCUCCGACUUGAGCGGUUUAGGAACUGCUGGAAGGCUCUAGGGGAAUAAAGAUGGAAUGACUUCUAAUUUUUAGGUCCGUAUGAUUUGAAAUACUUACACACAAACCACGCGAAAGCGUUCCUGGAAAUCUCAGCCCAAAAAAGGACGUUUAGUAAUUCUAAAAGGGACUACAUGAUGAAAAACAAUAGUUUUCGCAGUUAAAGUUUGAGAUUCGACGGUGCCGUAGAUCCGUUUGGUCAUCAAGUGUUACGAGCCACACCCAUGUCUAGCUAGAAUAGUGUGUUAGGCUCAGCCUAGAGAAGAAACGGGGAACAAACUGAUGAAAGAAUGAUCAUACCGAGGGAAUUCACUCAGAACUUACAAGAAUGAUAACGUGCUCCGACUUGAGCGGUUUAAGAACUGUUGGAAGGCUCUAGGGGAAUAAAGAUGGAAUCACUUCAAAUUUUUACGUCCGUGUGAUUUGAAAUACUUGCACACAAACCCCGAGAAAGCGUUCCUGGAAAUCUCGGCCGAAAAAAGGAUGUUUAAUAAUUCUAAAAGGGACUACAGGAUGAAAAACAAUAGCUUUGGCAGUUAAAGUUUGUGAUUCGAUGGUGCCGUAGAUCUGUUUGGUCAUCAGGUGUUAUGAGCCACACCCAUGUCUAGCUAGAAUAGUGUGUUAGGCUCAGGCUAGAGCAGAAACUAGGAACAAACUUAUGAAAGAAUGAUCAUACCGAGGGAAUUCACUCAGAACUAACAAGAAUGAUAACGUGCUCCGACUGGAGCGGUUUAGGAACUGCUGGAAGGCUCUAGGGGAAUAAAGAUGGAAUGACUUCUAAUUUUUAGGUCCGUAUGAUUUGAAAUACAUGCACACAAACCCCAAGAAAGCGUUCCUAGAAAUCUCAGCCCAAAAAGGACGUUUAGUAAUUCUAAAAGGGACUACAGGAUGAAAAACAAUAGGUUUGGCAGUUAAAGUUUGAGAUUCGAUAAUGCCGUAGAUCCGUUUGGUCAUCAGGUGUAACGAGCCACACCCAUGUCUAGCUACAUUAGUGUGCUAGGCUCAGACUAGAGAAGAAACGGGGAACAAACUGAUGAAAGAAUGAUCAUACCGAGGGAAUUCACUCAGAACUAACAAGAACGAUAACAUGCUCCGACUGCAGCGGUUUAGGAACUGCUGGAAGGCUCUAGGGGAAUAAAGAAGGAAUGACUUCUAAUUUUUAGGUCCGUAUGAUUUGAAAUACUUGCACACAAACCGCGCGAAAGCAUUCCUGGAAAUCUCAGCCCAAAAAAGGACGUUUAGUAAUUCUAAAAGGGACUACAGGAUGAAAAACAAUAAUUUUGGCAGUUAAAGUUUGAGAUUCGACGGUGCCGUAGAUCCGUUUGGUCAUCAGGUGUUACGGGCCAUACCCAUGUCUAGCUAGAAUAGUGUGUUAGGCUCAGGUUAGAGAAGAAACGGGGAACAAAGUGAUGAAAGAAUGAUCAUACCGAGGGAAUUCACUCAGAACUAACAAGAAUGAUAACGUGCUCCGACUGGAGCGGUUUAGGAAUUGCUGGAAGGCUCUAGGGGAAUAAAGAUGGAAUGACUUCUAUAUUUUACGUCCGUAUGAUUUGAAAUACUUGCACACAAACCACGCAAAAGCACUCCUGGAAAUAUCAGCCUAAAAAGGAUGUUUAGUAAUUCUAAAAGGGACUACAGGAUGAAAAAUAAUAGUUUUGGCAGUUAAAAUUUGAGAUUCAACGGUGCCGUAAAUCCGUUUGGUCAUCAGGUGUUACGAGCCACACCCAUGUCUAGCUAGAAUAGUGUGUUAGGCUCAGGUUAGAGAAGAAACGGGGAACAAACUGAUGAAAGAAUGAUCAUACAAGGGGAAUUCACUCAGAACUAUCAAGAAUGAUAACGUGCUCCGACUGGAGCAGUUUAGGAACUGCCGGAAGGCUCUAGGGGAAUAAAGAUGGAAUGACUUCUAAUUUUUAUGUCCGUAUGAUUUGAAAUACUUGCACACAAACCACGCAAAAGCGUUCCUGGAAAUCUCAGCCUAAAAAGGACGUUUAGUAAUUCUAAAAGGGACUACAGGAUGAAAAACAAUAGUUUGGGCAGUUAAAAUUCGAGAUUCGACGGUGCCGUAGAUCCGUUUGGUCAUCAGGUGUUACGAGCCACACCCAUGUCUAGCUAGAAUAGUGUGUUAGGCUCAGGCUAGAGAAGAAACGGGGAACAAACUGAUGAAAGAAUGAUCAUAUCGAGGGAAUUCACUCAGAACUAACAAGAAUGAUAACGUGCUCCGACUGGAGCGGUUUAGUAACUGCUGGAAGGCUCUAGGGGAAUAAAGAUGGAAUGACUUCUAAUUAUUAGGUCCGUAAGAUUUGAAUUACAUGCACACAAACCCCGAGAAAGCGUUCCUGGAAAUCUCGGUCGAAAAAAGGAUGUUUAGUAAUUCUAAAAGGGACUACAGGAUGAAAAACAAUAGUUUUGGCAGUUAAAGUUUGUGAUUCGAUGGUGCCGUAGAUCUGUUUGGUCAUCAGGUGUUACGAGCCACACCCAUGUCUAGCUAGAAUAGUGUGUUAGGCUCAGGCUAGAGCAGAAACGGGGAACAAACUUAUGAAAGAAUGAUCAUGCCGAGGGAAUUCACUCAGAACUAACAAGAAUGAUAACGUGCUCCGACUGGAGCGGUUUAGGAACUGCUGGAAGGCUCUAGGGGAAUAAAGAUGGAAUGACAUCAAAUUUUUAGGUCCGUAUGAUUUGAAAUACUUGCACACAAACCGCAAGAAAGCGUUCUUGGAAAUCUCCGCCCAAAAAAGGACGUUUAGUAAUUCUAAAAGGGUCUACAGGAUGAAAAACAAUAGUUCUGGCAGUUAAAGUUUGAGAUUCGAUAAUGUCGUAGAUCCGUUUGGUCAUCAGGCGUAACGAGCCACACCCAUUUCUAGCUAGAGUAGUGUGCUAGGCUCAGACUAGAGAAGAAACGGGGAACAACCUGAUGAAAGAAUGAUCAUACCGAGGGAAUUCACUCAGAACUAACAAGAAUGAUAACGUGCUCCGACUGGAGCGGUUUAGGAACUGCUGGAAGGCUCUACGGGAAUAAAGAAGGAAUGACUUCUAAUUUUUAGGUCCGUAUGAUUUGAAAUACGUGCACACAAACCCCGAGAAAGCGUUCCUGGAAAUCUCGGCCCAAAAAAGGACGUUUAGUAUUCUAAAAGCGACUACAGAAUGAAAAACAAUAGUUUUGGUAGUUAAAGUUUGAGAUUUAACGGUGCCGUAGAUCUGUUUGGUCAUCAGGUGUUACGAGCCACACCCAUGUCUAGCUAGAAUAGUGUGUUAGGCUCAGGCUAGAUAAGAAACAGGGAACAAAGUGAUGAAAGAAUGAUCAUACCAAGGGAAUUCACUCAGAACUAACAAGAACGAUAACAUGCUCCGACUGGAGUGGUUUAGGAACUGCUGGAAGGCUCUAGGGGAAUAAAGAUGGAAUGACUUCUAAUUUUUAGGUCUGUAUGAUUUGAAAUACUUGCACACAAACCGCACGAAAGCGUUCCUGGAAAUCUCAUCCCAAAAAAGGACGUUUAGUAAUUCUAAAAGGGACUACAGGAUGAAAAACAAUAGUUUUGGCAGUUAAAGUUUGAGAUUCGAUAAUGCUGUAGAUCCGUUUGGUCAUCAGGUGUAACGAGCCACACCCAUGUCUAGCUAGAGUAGUGUGCUAGGCUCAGACUAGAGAAGAAACGGGGAACAAACUGAUGAAAGAAUGAUCAUACCGAGGGAAUUCACUCAGAACUAACAAUAAUGAUAACGUGCUCCGACUGGAGCGGUUUAGGAACUGCUGGAAGGCUCUAGGGGAAUAAAGAUGGAAUGAGUUCUAAUUUUUAGGUCUGUAUGAUUUGAAAUACUUGCACACAAACCGCGUGAAAGCAUUCCUGGAAAUUUCAGCCCAAAAAAGGACGUUUAGUAAUUUUAAAAGGGACUACACGAUGAAAAACAAUAGUUUUGGCAGUUAAAGUUUGAGAUUCGACGGUGCCGUAGAUCCGUUUGGUCAUCAGGUGUUACGAGCCACACCCAUGUCUAGCUAGAAUAGUAUGUUAGGCUCGGGUAAGAGAAGAAACGGGGAACAAACUGAUGAAAGAAUGAUCAUACCAAGGGAAUUCACUCAGAACUAACAAGAAUGAUAACGUGCUCCGACUGGAGCGGUUUAGGAACUGCUGGAAGGCUCUAGGGGAAUAAAGAUGGAAUGACUUCUAAUUUUUACGUUCGUAUGAUUUGAAAUACUUGCACACAAACCACGCAAAAGCGUUCCUGGAAAUCUCAUCCUAAAAAAGGACGUUUAGUAAUUCUAAAAGGGACUACAGGAUGAAAAAUAAUAGUUUGGGCAGUUAAAAUUUGAGAUUCGACGGUGCCGUAGAUCCGUUUGGUCAUCAGGUGUUACGAGCCACACCCAUGUCUAGCUAGAAUAGUGUGUUAGGCUCAGGCUAGAGAAGAAACGGGGAACAAACUGAUGAAAGAAUGAUCAUAUCGAGGGAAUUCACUCAGAACUAACAAGAAUGAUAACGUGCUCCGACUGGAGCAGUUUAGAAACUGCUGGAAGGCUCUAGGGGAAUAAAGAUGGAAUGACUUCUAAUUUUUAGGUCUGUAUGAUUUGAAAUACGUGCACACGAACCCCGAGAAAGCGUUCCUGGAAAUCUCGGCCCAAAAAAGGACGUUUAGUAAUUCUAAAAGGGACUACAGGAUGAAAAACAAUAGUUUUGGCAGUUAAAGUUUGAGAUUCGACGGUGCCGUAGAUCCGUUUGUUCAUCAGGUGUUACGAGCCACACCCAUGUCUAGCUAGAAUAGUGUGUUAGGCUCAGGCUAGAGAAGAAACGGGGAACAAACUGAUGAAAGAAUGAUCAUACCGAGGGAAUUCACUCAGAACUAACAAGAAUGAUAACGUGCUCCGACUGGAGCGGUUUAGGAACUGCUAGAAGGCUCUAGGGGAAUAAAGAAGGAAUGACUUCUAAUUUUUAGGUCCGUAUGAUUUGAAAUACGUGCACACAAACCCCGAGAAAGCGUUCCUGGAAAUCUUGGCCCAAAAAAGGACGUUUAGUAUUCUAAAAGCGACUACAGAAUGAAAAACAAUAGUUUUGCUAGUUAAAGUUUGAGAUUUGAUGGUGCCGUAGAUCUGUUUGGUCAUCAGGUUUUACGAGCCACACCCAUGUCUAGCUAGAAUAGUGUGUUAGGCUCAGGCUAGAAAAGAAACAGGGAAUAAAGUGAUGAAAGAAUGAUCAUACCAAGGGAAUUCACUCAGAACUAACAAGAACGAUAACAUGCUCCGACUGGAGUGGUUUAGAACUGCUGGAAGGCUAAAGGGGAAUAAAGAUGGAAUGACUUCUAAUUUUUAGGUCCGUAUGAUUUGAAAUACUUGCACACAAACCGCACGAAAGUGUUCCUGGAAAUCUCAGCCCAAAAAAGGACGUUUAGUAAUUCUAAAAGGGACUACAGGAUGAAAAACAAUAGUUUUGGCAGUUAAAGUUUGAGAUUCGAUAAUGACGUAGAUCCGUUUGGUCAUCAGGUGUAACGAGCCACACCCAUGUCUAGCUAGAGUAGUGUGCUAGGCUCAGACUAGAGAAGAAACGGGGAACAAACUGAUGAAAGAAUGAUCAUACCGAGGGAAUUCACUCAGAACUAACAAUAAUGAUAACGUGCUCCGACUAGAGCGGUUUAGGAACUGCUGGAAGGCUCUAGGGGAAUAAAGAUGGAAUGACUUCUAAUUUUUAGGUCCCUAUGAUUUGAAAUACUUGCACACAAACCGCGUGAAAGCAUUCCUGGAAAUUUCAGCCCAAAAAAGGACGUUUAGUAAUUUUAAAAGGGACUACACGAUGAAAAAGAAUAGUUUUGGCAGUUAAAGUUUGAGAUUCGACGGUGCCGUAGAUCCGUUUGGUCAUCAGGUGUUACGAGACACACCCAUGUCUAGCUAGAAUAGUAUGUUAGGCUCGGGUUAGAGAAGAAACGGGGAACAAACUGAUGAAAGAAUGAUCAUACCAAGGGAAUUCACUCAGAACUAACAAGAAUGAUAACGUGCUCCGACUGGAGCGGUUUAGGAACUGCUGGAAGGCUCUAGGGGAAUAAAGAUGGAAUGACUUCUAAUUUUUACGUUCGUAUGAUUUGAAAUACUUGCAAACAAACCACGCAAAAGCGUUCCUGGAAAUUUCAUCCUAAAAAAGGACGUUUAGUAAUUCUAAAAGGGACUACAGGAUGAAAAAUAAUAGUUUGGGCAGUUAAAAUUUGAGAUUCGAUGGUGCCGUAGAUCCGUUUGGUCAUCAGGUGUUACGAGCCACACCCAUGUCUAGCUAGAAUAGUGUGUUAGGCUCAGGCUAGAGAAGAAACGGGGAACAAACUGAUGAAAGAAUGAUCAUAUCGAGGGAAUUCACUCAGAACUAACAAGAAUGAUAACGUGCUCCGACUGGAGCAGUUUAGAAACUGCUGGAAGGCUCUAGGGGAAUAAAGAUGGAAUGACUUCUAAUUUUUAGGUCUGUAUGAUUUGAAAUACGUGCACACAAACCCCGAGAAAGCGUUCCUGGAAAUCUCGUCCGGAAAAAGGAUGUUUAAUAAUUCUAAAAGGGACUACAGGAUGAAAAACAAUAGUUUUGGCAGUUAAAGUUUGUGAUUCGAUGGUGCCGUAGAUCUGUUUGGUCAUCAGGUGUUACGGGCCACACCCAUGUCUAGCUAGAAUAGUGUGUUAGGCUCAGGCUAGAGCAGAAACGGGGAGCAAACUUAUGAAAGAAUGAUCAUAGCGAGGGAAUUUACUCAGAACUAACAAGAAUGAUAACGUGCUCCGACUGGAGCGGUUUAGGAACUGCUGGAAGGCUCUAGGGGAAUAAAGAUGGAAUGACUUCAAAUUUUCAGGUAUGUAUGAUCUGAAAUACUUGCACACAAACCGCGAGAAAGCGUUCCUGGAAAUCUCAACCCAAAAAAGGAUGUUUAGUAAUUCUAAAAGGGACUACAGGAUUAAAAACAAUAGUUUUGGCAGUUAAAGUUUGAGAUUCGAUAAUGUCGUAGAUCCGUUUGGUCAUCAGGUGUAACGAGCCACACCCAUGUCUAGCUAGAGUAGUGUGCUAGGCUCAUACUAGAGAAGAAACGGGGAACAAACUGAUGAAAGAAUGAUCAUACCGAGGGAAUUCACUCAGAACUAACAAGAAUGAUAACGUGCUCCGACUGGAGCGGUUUAGGAACUGCUGGAAGGCUCUAGGGGAAUAAAGAUGGAAUGACUUCUUAUUUUUAGGUCCGUAUGAUUUGAAAUACAUGCACACAAACCCCAAGAAAGCGUUCCGGGAAAUCUCGGCCCAAAGAAUGAUGUUUAGUAAUUCUAAAAGGGACUAUAGAAUGAAAAACAAUAGUUUUGGCAGUUAAAGUUUGAGAUUUGACGGUGUCGUAGAUCUGUUUGGUCAUCAGGUGUUACGAGCCACACCCAUUUCUAGCUAGAAUAGUGUGUUAGGCUCAGGCUAGAAAAGAAACGGGGAACAAAGUGAUGAAAGAAUGAUCAUACCGAGGGAAUUCACUCAGAACUAACAAGAAUGAUAACAUGCUCCGACUAGAGCGGUUUAGGAACUGCUGGAAGGCUCUAGGGGAAUAAAUAUGGAAUGACUUCUAAUUUUCAGGUCCGUAUGAUUUGAAAUACUUGCACACAAACCGCGCGAAAGCGUUCCUGGAAAUCUCAUCCCAAAGAAGGUCGUUUAGUAAUUCUAAAAGGGACUACAGGAUGAAAAACAAUAGUUUUGGCAAUUUAAGGUUUGAGAUUCGACGGUGCCGUAGAUCCGUUUGGUCAUCAGGUGUUACGAGCCACACCCAUGUCUAGCUAGAAUAGUGUGCUAGGCUCAGGCUAGAGAAGAAACAGGGAACAAACUGAUGAAAGAAUGAUCAAACCGAGGGAAUUCACUCAGAACUAACAAUAAUGAUAACGUUCUCCGUCUGGAGCGGUUUAGGAACUGCUGGAAGGCUCUAGGGGAAUAAAGAUGGAAUGACUUCUAAUUUUUAGGUCCGUAUGAUUUGAAAUACUUGCACACAAACCGCGCCAAAUCGUUCCUGGAAAUCUCAGCCCAAAAAAGGACGUUUAGUAAUUCUAAAAGGGACUACAGGAUGAAAAACAAUAGUUUUGGCAGUUAAAGUUUGAGAUUCGAUGGUGCCGUAGACCCGUUUGGUCAUCAGGUGUUACGAGCCACACCCAUGUCUAGCUAGAGUAGUGUGCUAGGUUCAGACUAGAGAAGAAACAGGGAACAAAGUGAUGAAAGAAUGAUCAUACCGAGGGAAUUCACUCAGAACUAACAAGAAUGAUAACGUGCUCCGACUGGAGCGGUUUAGGAACUGCUGGAAGGCUCUAGGGGAAUAAAGAUGGAAUGACUUCUAAUUUUUACGUCCGUAUGAUUUGAAAUACUUGCACACAAACCACGCAAAAGCGUUCCUGGAAAUCUCAGCCUAAAAAAGGACGUUUAGUAAUUCAAAAAGGGACUACAAAAUGAAAAACAAUAGUUUUGGCAGUUAAAGUUUGAGAUUCGAUGGUGCCGUAGAUCCGUUUGGUCAUCAGGUGUUACGAGCCACACCCAUGUCUAGCUAGGAUAGUGUGUUAGGCUCAGGCUAGAGAAGAAACGGGGAACAAACUGAUGAAAGAAUGAUCAUACCGAGGGAAUUCACUCAGAACUAACAAGGAUGAUAACAUGCUCCGACUAGAGCGGUUUAGGAACUGCUGGAAGGCUCUAGGGGAAUAAAGAUGGAAUGACUUCUAAUUUUUAGGUCCGUAUGAUUUGAAAUACUUGCACACAAACCGCAAGAAAGCGUUCCUGGAAAUCUCAGCCCAAAAAAGGACGUUUAGUAAUUCUAAAAGGGACUACAGGAUGAAAAACAAUAGUUCUGGCAGUUAAAGUUUGAGAUUCGAUAAUGCCGUAGAUCUGUUUGGUCAUCAGGUGUAACGAGCCACACCCAUGUCUAGCUAGAGUAGUGUGCUAGGCUCAGACUAGAGAAGAAACGGGGAACAAACUGAUGAAAGAAUGAUUAUACCGAGGGAAUUCACUCAGAACUAACGAGAAUGAUAACGUGCUCCGACUGGAGCGGUUUAGGAACUGCUGGAAGGCUCUAGGGGAAUAAAGAUGGAAUGACUUCAAAUUUUUAGGUCUGUAUGAUUUGAAAUACUUGCACACAAACCGCAAGAAAGCGUUCCUUGAAAUCUCAGCCCAAAAAAGGACGUUUAGUAAUUCUAAAAGGGACUACAGGAUGAAAAACAAUAGUUCUGGCAGUUAAAGUUUGAGAUUCGAUAAUGUCGUAGAUCCGUUUGGUCAUCAGGUGUAACGAGCCACACCCAUGUCUAGCUAGAGUAGUGUGCUAGGCUCAGAAUAGAGAAGAAACGGGGAACAAACUGAUGAAAGAAUGAUCAUACCGAGGGAAUUCACUCAGAACUAACAAGAAUGAUAACGUGCUCCGACUGGAGCGGUUUAGGAACUGCUGGAAGGCUCUAGGGGAAUAAAGAAGGAAUGACUUCUAAUUUUUAGGUCCGUAUGAUUUGAAAUACGUGCACACAAACCGCGCGAAAGCGUUCCUGGAAAUCUCAGCCAAAAAAAGGACGUUUAGUAUUCUAAAAGGGACUACAGAAUGAAAAACAAUAGUUUUGGCAGUUAAAGUUUGAGAUUCGACGGUGCUGUAGAUCCGUUUGGUCAUCAGGUGUUACGAGCCACACCCAUGUCUAGCUAGAAUAGUGUGCUAGGCUCAGGCUAGAGAAGAAAAGGGGAACAAACUAAUGAAAGAAUGAUCAAUCCGAGGGAAUUCACUCAGAACUAACAAUAAUGAUAACGUGCUCCGACUGGAGCGGUUUAGGAACUGCUGGAAGGCUCUAGGCGAAUAAAGAUGGAAUGACUUCUAAUUUUUACGUCCGUAUGAUUUGAAAUACUUGCACACAAACCACGCAAAAGCGUUCCUGGAAGUCUCGGCCUAAAAAGGACGUUUAGUAAUUCUAAAAGGGACUACAGGAUGAAAAAUAAUAGUUUGGGCAGUUAAAAUUUGAGAUUCGACGGUGCCGUAGAUCCAUUUGGUCAUCAAGUGUUACGAGCCACACCCAUGUCUAGCUAGAAUAGUGUGUUAGGCUCAGGCUAGAGAAGAAACGGGGAACAAACUGAUGAAAGAAUGAUCAUACCAAGGGAAUUCACUCAGAACUAACAAGAAUGAUAACGUGCUCCGACUGGAGCAGUUUAGAAACUGCUGGAAGGCUCUUGGGGAAUAAAGAUGGAAUGACUUCAAAUUUUUAGGUCCGUAUGAUUUGAAAUACUUGCACACAAACCACGCGAAAGCGUUCCUGGAAAUCUCAGCCCAAAAAAGGACGUUUAGUAAUUCUAAAAGGGACUACAUGAUGAAAAACAAUAGUUUUGGCAGUUAAAGUUUGAGAAUCGUCGGUGCCGUAGAUCCGUUUGGUCAUCAGCUGUAACGAGCCACACCCAUGUCUAGCUAGAGUAGUGUGCUAGGCUCAGACUAGAGAAGAAACAGGGAACAAAGUGAUGAAAGAAUGAUCAUACCGAGGGAAUUCACUUAGAACUAACAAGAAUGAUAACAUGCUCCGACUUGAGCGAUUUAGGAACUUCUGGAAGGCUCUAGGGGAAUAAAGAUGGAAUGACUCAAAUUUUUAGGCCCGUAUGAUUUGAAAUACAUGCACACAAACCGCGAGAAAGUGUUCCUGGAAAUCUUAGCCCAAAAAAGGACGUUUAGUAAUUCUAAAAGGGACUACAGGAUGAAAAACAAUAGUUUUGGUAGUUAAAGUUUCAGAUUCGAUAAUGCCCUAGAUCCGUUUGGUCAUCAGGUGUAACGAGCCACACCAAUGUCUAGCUAGAGUAGUGUGCUAGGCUCAGACUAGAUAAGAAACGGGGAAGAAACUGAUGAAAGAAUGAUCAGACCGAGGGAAUUCACUCAGAACUAACAAUAAUGAUAACGUGCUCCGAGUGGAGCGGUUUAGGAACUGCUGGAAGGCUCUAGGGGAAUAAAGAUGGAAUGACUUCUAAUUUUUAGGUCCGUAUGAUUUGAAAUACGUGCACACAAACCCCGAGAAACCGUUCCUUGAAAUCUCGGCCCAAAAAAGGACGUUUAGUAAUUCUAAAAGGGACUACAAAAUGAAAAACAAUAGUUUUGGCAGUUAAAGUUUGAGAUUCGACGGUGUCGUAGACCCGUUUGGUCUUCAGGUGUUACGAGCCACACCCAUGUCUAGCCAGAGUAGUGUGCUAGGUUCAGACUAGAGAAGAAACGGGGAACAAAGUGAUGAAAGAAUGAUCAUACCGAGGGAAUUCACUCAGAACUAACAAGAAUGAUAACGUGCUCCGACUGGAGCGGGUUAGGAACUCCUGGAAGGCUCUAGGGGAAUAAAGAUGGAAUGACUUCUAAUUUUUACGUCCGUAUGAUUUGAAAUACUUGCACACAAACCACGCAAAAGCGUUCCUGGAAAUCUCAGCCUAAAAAAGGACGUUUAGUAAUUCUAAAAGGGACUACAGGAUGAAAAAUAAUAGUUUGGUCAUCAGGUGUUACGAGCCACACCCAUGUCUAGCUAGAAUAGUGUGCUAGGCUCAGGCUAGAGAAGAAACGGGGAAUAAACUGAUGAAAGAAUGAUCAAACCGAGGGAAUUCACUCAGAACUAACAAUAAUGAUAACGUUCUCCGUCUGGAGCGGUUUAGGAACUGCUGGAAGGCUCUAGGGGAAUAAAGAUGGAAUGACUUCUAAUUUUUAGGUCCGUAUGAUACGAAAUACUUGCACACAAACCGCGCGAAAUCGUUCCUGGAAAUCUCAGCCCAAAAAAGGACGUUUAGUAAUUCUAAAAGGGACUACAGCAUGAAAAACAAUAGUUCUGGCAGUUAAAGUUUGAGAUUCGAUAAUGCCGUAGAUCCGUUUGGUCAUCAGGUGUAACGAGCCACACCCAUGUCUAGCUAGAGUAGUAUGCUAGGCUCAGACUAGAGAAGAAACGGGGAACAAACUGAUGAAAGAAUGAUUAUACCGAGGGAAUUCACUCAGAACUAACAAGAAUGAUAACGUGCUCCGGCUGGAGCGGUUUAGGAACUGCUAGAAGGCUCUAGGGGAAUAAAGAUGGAAUGACUUCAAAUUUUUAGGUCUGUAUGAUUUGAAAUACUUGCACACAAACCGCAAGAAAGCGUUCCUGGAAAUCUCAGCCCAAAAAAGGACGUUUAGUAAUUCUAAAAGGGACUAUAGGAUGAAAAACAAUAGUUCUGGUAGUUAAAGUUUGAGAUUCGAUAAUGUCAUAGAUCCGUUCGGUCAUCAGGUGUAACGAGCCACACCCAUGUCUAGCUAGAGUAGUGUGCUAGGCUCAGACUAGAGAAGAAACGGGGAACAAACUGAUGAAAGAAUGAUCAUACCGAGGGAAUUCACUCAGAACUAACAAGAAUGAUAACGUGCUCCGACUGGAGCGGUUUAGGAACUGCUGGAAGGCUCUAGGGGAAGAAAGAAGGAAUGACUUCUAAUUUUUAGGUCCGUAUGAUUUGAAAUACGUGCACACAAACCGCGCGAAAGCGUUCCUGGAAAUCUCAGCCCAAAAAAGGACGUUUAGUAUUCUAAAAGGGACUACAGAAUGAAAAACAAUAGUUUUGGCAGUUAAAGUUUGAGAUUCGACGGUGCCGUAGAUCCGUUUGGUCAUCAGGUGUUACGAGCCACACCCAUGUCUAGCUAGAAUAGUGUGCUAGGCUCAGGCUAGAGAAGAAAAGGGGAACAAACUGAUGAAAGAAUGAUCAAACCGAGGGAAUUCACUCAGAACUAACAAUAAUGAUAACGUGCUCCGACUGGAGCGGUUUAGGAACUGCUGGAAGGCUCUUGGCGAAUAAAGAUGGAAUGACUUCUAAUUUUUACGUCCGUAUGAUUUGAAAUACUUCCACACAAACCAGGCAAAGGCGUUCCUGGAAAUCUCGGCCUAAAAAGGACGUUUAGUAAUUCUAAAAGGGACUACAGGAUGAAAAAUAAUAGUUUGGGCAGUUAAAAUUUUAGAUUCGACGGUGCCGUAGAUCCGUUUGGUCAUCAGGUGUUACGAGCCACACCCAUGUCUAGCUAGAAUAGUGUGUUAGGCUCAGGCUAGAGAAGAAACGGGGAACAAACUGAUGAAAGAAUGAUCAUACCAAGGGAAUUCACUCAGAACUAACAAGAAUGAUAACGUGCUCCGACUGGAGCAGUUUAGAAACUACUGGAAGGCUCUAGGGGAAUAAAGAUGGAAUGACUUCAAAUUUUUAGGUCCGUAUGAUUUGAAAUACUUGCACACAAACCGCGCGAAAGCGUUCCUGGAAAUCUCAGCCCAAAAAAGGACGUUUAGUAAUUCUAAAAGGGACUACAUGAUGAAAAACAAUAGUUUUGGCAGUUAAAGUUUGAGAUUCGUCGGUGCCGUAGAUCCGUUUGGUCAUCAGCUGUAACGAGCCACACCCAUUUCUAGCUAGAGUAGUGUGCUAGGCUCAGACUAAAGAAGAAAUGGGGAACAAAGUGAUGAAAGAAUGCUCAUACCGAGGGAAUUCACUCAGAACUAACAAGAAUGAUAACAUGCUCCGACUUGAGCGAUUUAGGAACUUCUGGAAGGCUCUAGGGGAAUAAAGAUGGAAUGACUCAAAUUUUUAGGUCCGUAUGAUUUGAAAUACUUGCACACAAACCGCGAGAAAGCGUUCCUGGAAAUCUCAGCCCAAAAAAGGACGUUUAGUAAUUCUAAAAGGGACUACAUGAUGAAAAACAAUAGUUUUGGCAGUUAAAGUUUGAGAUUUGAUAAUGCCGUAGAUCCGUUUGGUCAUCAGGUGUAACGAGCCACACCCAUGUCUAGCUAGAGUAGUGUGCUAGGCUAAGACUAGAUAAGAAAAGGGGAAGAAACUUAUGAAAGAAUGAUCAGACCGAGGGAAUUCACUCAGAACUAACAAUAAUGAUAACGUGCUCCGACUGGAGCGGUUUAGGAACUGCUGGAAGGCUCUAGGGGAAUAAAGAUGGAAUGACUUCUAAUUUUUAGGUCCGUAUGAUUUGAAAUACGUGCACACAAACCCCGAGAAACCGUUCCUGGAAAUCUCGGCCCAAAAAAGGAUGUUUAGUAAUUCUAAAAGGGACUACAAAAUGAAAAACAAUAGUUUUGGCAGUUAAAGUUUGAGAUUUGAUGGUGCCGUAGAUCUGUUUGGUCAUCAGGUGUUACGAGCCACACCCAUGUCUAGCUAGAAUAGUGUGUUAGGCUCAGGCUAGAAAAGAAACGGGAAACAAAGUGAUGAAAGAAUGAUCAUACCGAGGGAAUUCACUCAGAACUAACAAGAAUGAUAACAUGCUCUGACUGGAGCGGUUUAGGAACUGCUGGAAGGCUCUAGGGGAAUAAAGAUGGAAUGACUUCUAAUGUUUAGGUCCGUAUGAUUUGAAAUACUUGCACAUAAACCGCGCAAAAGCGUUCCUGGAAAUCUCAGCCCAAAAAAGGACGUUUAGUAAUUCUAAAAGGGACUACAGGAUGAAAAACAAUAGUUUUGGCAGUUAAAGUUUGAGAUUCGACGGUGCCGUAGAUCCGUUUGUUCAUCAGGUGUUACGAGCCACACCCAUGUCUAGCUAGAAUAGUGUGUUAGGCUCAGGCUAGAGAAGAAACGGGGAACAAACUGAUGAAAGAAUGAUCAAACCGAGGGAAUUCACUCAGAACUAACAAUAAUGAUAACGUGCUCCGACUAGAGCGGUUUAGGAACUGCUGGAAGGCUCUAGGGGAAUAAAGAUGGAAUGACUUCUAAUUUUUAGGUCUGUAUGAUUUGAAAUACUUGCACGCAAACCGCGCGAAAGCGUUCCCGGAAAUAUCAGCCUAAAGAAGGACGUUUAGUAAUUCUAAAAGGGACUACAGGAUGAAAAACAAUAGUUUUGGCAGUUAAAGUUUGAGAUUCAACGGUGCCGUAGAUCCGUUUGGUCAUCAGGUGUUACGAGCCACACCCAUGUCUAGCUAGAGUAGUGUGCUAGGCUCAGGCUAGAGAAGAAACAGGGAACAAACUGAUGAAAGAAUGAUCAUACCGAGGGAAUUCACUCAGAACUGAUGAAAGAAUGAUCAAACCAAGGAAAUUCACUCAGAACUAACAAUAAUGAUAACAUGCUCCGACUGGAGCGGUUUAGGAACUGCUGGAAGGCUCUAGGGGAAUAAAGAUGGAAUGACUUCUAAUUUUUAGGUCCGUAUGAUUUGAAAUACGUGCACACAAACCCCGAGAAACCGUUCCUGGAAAUCUCGGCCCAAAAAAGGACGUUUAGUAAUUCUAAAAGGGACAACAAAAUGAAAAACAAUAGUUUUGGCAGUUAAAGUUUGAGAUUCGACGGUGCCGUAGACCCGUUUGGUCAUCAGGUGUUACGAGCCACACCCAUGUCUAGCUAGAGUAGUGUGCUAGGUUCAGACUAGAGAAGAAACGGGGAACAAAGUGAUGAAAGAAUGAUCAUACCGAGGGAAUUCACUCAGAACUAACAAGAAUGAUAACGUGCUCCGACUGGAGCGGGUUAGGAAUUGCUGGAAGGCUCUAGGGGAAUAAAGAUAGAAUGACUUCUAAUUUUUACGUCCGUAUGAUUUGAAAUACUUGCACACAAACCACGCAAAAGCGUUCCUAGAAAUCUCAGCCUAAAAAAGGACGUUUAGUAAUUCUAAAAGGGACUACAGGAUGAAAAAUAAUAGUUUGGCCAGUUAAAAUUUAAGAUUCGACGGUGCCGUAGAUCCGCUUGGUCAUCAGGUGUUACGAGCCACACCCAUGUCUAGCUAGAAUAGUGUGUUAGGCUCAGGCUAGAGAAGAAACGGGGAACAAACUGAUGAAAGAAUGAUCAUACCGAGGG